rnacentral:lncRNA from 7 species
AUUUCAAAUAGAUAGACCUUGCUUAAAUGAGAUAUUUAUUUAAACACAUUCUAAGCUCAUGGAUUUCUAGAUCGGACCAAAGGAAGGCAAUCGAGGACCAGAACAGGGUCAACACACACAAUGGUAGUCGGCAUGCCUAUGGAUCGAACCAAACCAAUGUCGAGUUAGGUGUGUGGUGGUGCCAUCCACAACAAGAAUCCUGAAUAUCCCAUCGGCUUCCGUUAGUUUUUGUCGAGAUAGCAACACACAACGUGGGACCAGUGGGAGCAGCAGAGGCAGCAUCAGUUGCAUGAGGCCCCAUCCGGAAUGAUGAGCCUCAGGAUGUUGCUUUAGGUGGCUCUACAGUGCCAUGCACAUGUCACUCUAAGAAGAGCCACACAGUGAAGCCUCCUCUCGCGAUAGAUCGAGAGGCCGACAGGACCUUAGUCAAGCCUCUUAGAAAUCGGUUAACCAUGUGUUUGGUGCCCAUUGGUCUAGUGAAGGUGUCAAAUGAAGAUAGCAUGGAGGAGGUGAUCAUCAGUAACUGGGACGAAUACAAGUUGAAAAGGAAUGAGACCACACUGACAAAUAGGGACUAGUGUGCCAUGACUUUUGGUUUGUCUUUAUUCUGUUUCUUAAUGGUCUUAUUCUGUUUCUUAAUGUUCUUAUUCUAUGACUUAUAACCUUGUAUUUGUAUUCUUUAUAUUGUUGUUCCAUUUUCGGUUGUCUGAAGGCAUGGAUUACAUGGGGCACACUGAACUUGUGUUCCAAAAGAGUGCAUAAAAGCUUGUCAAGGAUGUAAUAUUAUAUGCUAGAAUUCAGAUCACAAAUCUUUAUUUUGAAUUGCAUUCAGGCCAAGAAGGUCUCUUGAACAA